GGACCUUGACUAUCCUAUCGGAUGUUUGCCUUCGGGGACAGUGGUGACAGGUGGUGCAUGGUUGUCGUCAGCUCGUGUCGUGAGAUGUUGGGUUAAGUCCCGCAACGAGCGCAACCCUUGCCUUUAGUUGCCAGCAUUAAGUUGGGCACUCUAGAGGGACUGCCAGGGAUAACCUGGAGGAAGGUGGGGAUGACGUCAAAUCAUCAUGCCCCUUAUGCUUAGGGCUACACACGUGCUACAAUGGGUGGUACAGAGGGCUGCCAAAUCGUGAGGCGGAGCUAAUCCCUUAAAGCCAUUCUCAGUUCGGAUUGUAGGCUGAAACUCGCCUACAUGAAGCUGGAGUUACUAGUAAUCGCAGAUCAGAAUGCUGCGGUGAAUGCGUUCCCGGGUCUUGUACACACCGA
rnacentral:rRNA from 1 species